rnacentral:rRNA from 1 species
GGGGAAUAUUGCACAAUGGGCGAAAGCCUGAUGCAGCGACGCCGCGUGAGGGAUGGAGGCCUUCGGGUUGUAAACCUCUUUCGCUCAUGGUCAAGCCGCAACACAUGGUUGUGGUGAGGGUAGUGGGUAAAGAAGCGCCGGCUAACUACGUGCCAGCAGCCGCGGUAAUACGUAGGGCGCGAGCGUUGUCCGGAAUUAUUGGGCGUAAAGGGCUUGUAGGCGGUUGGUCGCGUCUGCCGUGAAAUCCUCUGGCUUAACUGGGGGCGUGCGGUGGGUACGGGCUGACUUGAGUGCGGUAGGGGAGACUGGAACUCCUGGUGUAGCGGUGGAAUGCGCAGAUAUCAGGAAGAACACCGGUGGCGAAGGCGGGUCUCUGGGCCGUUACUGACGCUGAGGAGCGAAAGCGUGGGGAGCGAACAGGAUUAGAUACCCUGGUAGUCCACGCUGUAAACGUUGGGCACUAGGUGUGGGGGCCACCCGUGGUUUCUGCACCGUAGCUAACGCUUUAAGUGCCCCGCCUGGGGAGUACGGCCGCAAGGCUA